CCCAUGUGGCGGUUCACUAAUCUCAUUUACGGUCUCAUCAAGUAGCCGGGCUGGUUACUAGGCCCCGAUGUCACUCAACAACCCCAGCAUUAUAAAUUCCUUCCUCCCGUCGCUCCUUUAAGACUUCUUUUUUUACUCUGGUCUACACCGCCUGCGCGUCCGCCGACCUCGGCCUUUCUCCGGCGAUGAGGAGCGGCGCUUCUCCCCCCAUCUGCGCUCUUCUCUUCUUGGUGUCUGUCUUCGUCUGUGCUGUCCUCUCCUCUCCGGUCCUCCCCGGCGGCGCGGAGGCGAGCAAUGCGACGGAGGUCUCGAGUUCGGGAUCGGGGAAGGAAGGCAGCUUCGCGGACAUUAUCGAUCGCGCUCUCCAGAAGGAGUUCUCGGAGAGCGAGCAGAGCGGUGGAGAAACCGAUGCGGGCAGCUUUAACAACACCGUUGCUGAGAAACAGGCAGUUCUGGAAACGGUAGCUAGAGUUACAACUAAGAAAAAUGAAACCAAAGAGGAAAAAUCUUUUCAGUUUCAUGAUGUUUUUAAUCUGGAUAAUGAGAACCGAGCAGAGGAUAUUCCUACCUUAAUAGAUCGCAGGGAUAAUGUUUUUAUUAUAUCAAACCCCAAAUCAAAGUAUCCUGUUCUACAGUUAGAUCUGAGGUUGAUAUCUGAUCUUGUGGUGGUCAUUGUGUCUGCUACUUGUGGUGGUAUUGCCUUUGCCUGUGCUGGACAACCGGUGAUUACUGGAUACUUACUUGCAGGAUCUGUCAUCGGACCUGGAGGUUUAAGCUUCAUCAGUGAAAUGGUGCAAGUUGAAACAGUAGCUCAGUUCGGUGUUAUUUUUCUUCUCUUUGCGUUGGGGCUUGAGUUCUCUACAACAAAGCUUCGGGUUGUUCGAGCUGUUGCUGUUCUUGGAGGCUUGCUUCAAAUUGUACUGUUUAUGUGUUUGUGUGGUGCAGCUGCAUCAUUAUGUGGGGGAAAGACUUCUGAGGGGGUGUUUGUUGGUGCAUUCUUGUCUAUGUCUUCAACAGCUAUGGUUUUGAAGUUCUUAAUGGAGAGAAAUAGUAUUAUUGCCCUUCAUGGUCAAGUCACAGUUGGCACCCUCAUACUCCAGGAUUGUGCUGUUGGCUUGCUCUUUGCACUACUUCCAGUUUUGGGUGGCACAUCUGGUGUUCUUCAAGGAGUUAUUUCAAUGGCCAAGUCGUUGAUUGUGCUAUUAAUGUUCCUGGCUGUUCUAUCCGUACUAUCAAGAACUUUUGUGCCUUGGUUUCUCAAGCUGAUGACUGGUCUUUCAACCCAGACCCAGACCGGUGAACUCUACCAGUUGGCAUCUGUUGCAUUCUGUUUACUUGUAGCAUGGUGUAGUGACAAGUUGGGCCUGAGUCUUGAAUUGGGUUCAUUCGCUGCUGGUGUGAUGAUAUCAACAACUGAUCUUUCACAUCACACCCUUGAACAUGUUUGUUCUUUCUGCAGAUUGAACCCAUUCGUAACUUCUUUGCUGCUCUUUUUCUUGCCAGCAUUGGAAUGCUUAUUCAUGUCCAUUUCCUCUGGAACCAUGUGGAUAUUUUAUUGGCAGCUGUAAUUUUGGUGAUCAUUAUAAAGACAAUGGUGGUUACAGUAGUUGUCAAGGGAUUUGGCUACAGUAACAAGACAUCGGUUCUUGUUGGCAUGUCUCUGGCACAGAUAGGGGAAUUUGCUUUUGUUCUUCUAAGUCGUGCUUCAAAUCUUCAUCUAGUUGAGGGUAAACUAUACCUGCUACUGCUGGGGACAACUGCUCUUAGUUUGGUAACCACUCCAUUGCUGUUCAAAUUAAUCCCCGCAGUAAGCCAUCUUGGUGUUCUGCUGGGAUGGUUCUCACCUGACAGCAGUCAAACGGAGAUGGGAUGUAAAGGUGAUAUCCUGCGUGCAGACAGUGCUAAUAAACGAAUUAAUUUGAUGGUCCAAGGCUCUCAUGAUUCAUGAAAUGAAAAUUUCGGAAGUACAUGAUGUAAAUUAGAAACAGCAGAUACAGCUACAGGCUUCUUGAUACUUAACACUGUCCAGCCAACAAAAGGAGAUCUGACUGAAACCAUGUUUUUUUUAAAAGGUUAAAAAGGGAAAAAGAAUAACAUUUCAUCUUUGUUCCAUGAUCCAUACAAGCAGGAGUUGCUGAAAAGGGGAAUUAGAGGGCAAGGAAAAGAUUGAUUCCAUGGGAUCUUGGCACAUGAUUUCUUUGAAGCUUGGUCCUUGAUCACAUUGCAUUACUCUCACAUGCAGAUUUUGUGUAAAGUAUUUUGUGUUGUAUCUUGAUUGAUUGGUUUCCAGGGGCUGUUCAAACUUGGAAUUCCCAUUGUAGUCUCUGAACGAAUUGUUGUGGAAUAUGUCAAUUGAUCAAGGUCAUUUGUGGGUGGUUCAUUCAUCUGGCCUUUGCUCA